GUUUCAUGAAAAAAGAUAUCCUCAGAAUACAAAACCAAAGAUGUCAAUGCCAUCUCGGGACCAGAAAGCACGCCCAAUUCUUCUAAUUCAGAAGUACGGAACCAAAGAUGUCAAUGCCAUCUCGGGACCAGAAAGCACGCC